rnacentral:lncRNA from 1 species
GUGGUACCCAACACUUUCACUAAAAUUAAUUUGGCUCGUUUAAUUUUCAUAAAAUUUUGACAAAGUAUUUACUUUGACCCUUUAACAAAAUAUAAAAAAUUCAAAAAAUUUGAACCAAGCGUUUUAUCAGAAAAAUUACACUGGUUAUAUAGCAGUUUGACAAACACUAAUUUUGAUCAUUGAGAAGCUUUAUAAAUGCCUUCACAAGGCAACGUAAUUAAAACGUUUAGCUGAUAUUACAGAGUUAUCUCCCUGUAGUGUUAGGUACCACCUUAAACGAAAAUA